rnacentral:rRNA from 1 species
UACGUAGGGUGCGAGCGUUGUCCGGAAUUAUUGGGCGUAAAGAGCUCGUAGGUGGCGUGUCGCGUCUGCCGUGAAAGCCCAUGGCUUAACUGUGGGUCUGCGGUGGAUACGGGCAGGCUGGAGGCUGGUAGGGGAGAUCGGAAUUCCUGGUGUAGCGGUGAAAUGCGCAGAUAUCAGGAGGAACACCGGUGGCGAAGGCGGAUCUCUGGGCCUGUUCUGACGCUGAGGCGCGAAAGCUAGGGGAGCGAACAGG